rnacentral:rRNA from 1 species
UACAGAGGUGCCAAGCGUUAGGCGGAAUCACUGGGCUUAAAGCGCGUGUAGGUGGGUCGUUAAGUGUCCGCGUGAAAUCCCACGGCUCAACCGUGGAACUGCCGGGCAUACUGGCGAUCUUGAGGCAUUCAGGGGCGAGCGGAACAAGUGGUGGAGCGGUGAAAUGCGUAGAUAUCAGGAAGAACACCGAUGGCGAAGGCAGCUCUCUGGGACGGUACUGACGCUGAGACGCGAAAGCGUGGGGAGCGAACAGG